AACGCGAAGAACCUUACCCAGGCUUGACAUGCAGAGGACAGUGCUGGAAACAGCAUCUCCCUUCGGGGCCUCUGCACAGGUGCUGCAUGGCUGUCGUCAGCUCGUGCCGUGAGGUGUUGGGUUAAGUCCCGCAACGAGCGCAACCCUUAUCAUUAGUUGCCAACACUUAGGGUGGGAACUCUAAUGAGACUGCCUGGGUUAACCAGGAGGAAGGUGAGGAUGACGUCAAGUCCGCAUGGCCCUUAUGACCAGGGCUACACACGUGCUACAAUGGUAGGUACAAAGGGUCGCUAAGCCGCAAGGCGGAGCCAAUCCCAUAAAGCCUAUCGUAGUCCGGAUCGGAGUCUGCAACUCGACUCCGUGAAGUCGGAAUCGCUAGUAAUCGUAGAUCAGCAUUGCUACGGUGAAUACGUUCCCGGGCCUUGUACACACCGCGAGC
rnacentral:rRNA from 1 species